UCACAUGUUAGACAUGUGUUGGAAUAAUAGUUUCUUACAUAUGGUUAAGUUCUUUACAAAUUAGAAGGUGACAUGUGUAUGUUCUUAUUGCUUUAUUUUUGUUUUAUUCCGUAAUUAUGCUUGUAUAUAGAUAUGGUAUUAGAUAUGAAUAGACAUUCAAAAUUUUCCCAAAAAUUCUCUACAAUUGCUUUCACCUUUAUGGAGCAUUAUGGUGCCUCUUCUUCCUUCUCUAAAGAUCAAAUGGCUCCUAUUCUCAAUCCGUUGAGAAUUGUACAAGAUCCGUACAAAUCCAGCUCUUCCAAGCCUUACGAAGACAAGCCUUUUGGAGGGGGGACACAAAAUUUUCAUUUAAGACGAAGAAGACACUCAUAAUCUAUCUACAUCUAUUCUAAGAAGAGAGGUUUGUGGGUUUUCAACUUUGUUUGGGAUUCAAUAACUUUCUCUAGCGAAGCUCCGUCGUUCGUGCUAGUUGAAUAGAUCUCUUUCUUCUCGCUGUCUCAGCUCGCUAGUCUACAAAAGGUAAUUUCUUUGACUUUAGUUAUUUGUUGAGUAUCCAUAUAAACUUUUUGUCUUAAUUAUGAUUGCUUAAAGAAUGUAGCUUUUUAGAUCUCGUAUUAGCUAUAAAUUAGGGUUAAGCGCAUUAACCUUUUUUAUUUAAGUUUGCUAGCUUGACAGGGCAGUUGAAUCAACCAACUAUAUGUUCUACAAAGCACAAGCAAAUCUAAAUUAAAUGAAAUGACUAAAUUUAUUGGGUGUUCUUGUAAUUUCCUCUAAACAAUGGUUGUUUUCUUGCAUUGUUUGUCAUGUACUGAUGUGCUAAAUUUUAUGAUCUUUGCCAAGUAUGUAAUAGAGCUUCAGAAAUAGAUAGUUUUCAUUUAUAGUUUACUAGUUUGUGGUAACGUGCUUUGCACAUUGAUUCCAAAAUGCUUAAUACAAACUUUAUAUUGCAAAUGCUAUAUUUUAAAUAGUACAUAUUAUCGGACUUUUUCUGUGCUACGA